GUGGGGCUGGAGCGCCUUCCUACUCUCUAUAUACCAUGUUGGCAUCAGGACUAGAGGGAACAAAGAAACCUAGAGUUACAGCAUUCCUCCAGCCAAGCCCUGGGAUGGUCCCUGCCUCUAAGAAGAAACAAAUCAUUGUACCAACCUGAAGACAAUAGAAAGCCAGGAGCCAGAACACAGGAGGAUAAAAUUUGAUUCCCAGAACCUACAUCAAGUGGCUCACAACCUGUACUGUACUUUCAGCUCCAGGGAAUGCAAUGCCUUCGUCUGGCUUCCACAGGCACCCCUACACUUGUGGCAUACACAAACAAAGAAAAAUGAAAUAAAUCUUUA
ensembl:antisense Gm12272 predicted gene 12272